rnacentral:rRNA from 1 species
GACGAACGCUGGCGGCGUGCUUAACACAUGCAAGUCGAACGGAAAGGCCCUGCUUUUGUGGGGUGCUCGAGUGGCGAACGGGUGAGUAACACGUGAGUAACCUGCCCUUGACUUUGGGAUAACUUCAGGAAACUGGGGCUAAUACCGGAUAGGAGCUCCUGCUGCAUGGUGGGGGUUGGAAAGUUUCGGCGGUUGGGGAUGGACUCGCGGCUUAUCAGCUUGUUGGUGGGGUAGUGGCUUACCAAGGCUUUGACGGGUAGCCGGCCUGAGGGGGUGACCGGCCAAAUGGGAAAUGAGGAGCGCCCCAGACCCGAAGGGGAGGCAGCAGGGGGAAAAAUGGCACAAGGGGGGAAGGCAGGAAACGCAACCGCCGGGUGAGGAAGGGCGCCCUUGGGGUUGUAAGCCGCUUUCCCGGGAGCCAAGGCGUGGGGGCCGGGAAGGGUAAAAGAAAAGCCGGCAAUCCCCG